rnacentral:lncRNA from 1 species
GUCACAGGAUCUGCUACUCCAGUUAUCAACAAAGAGAACAAGAACUACAAACCCACAUCUUCAAGAAAUAAGGAAGUGGCUAAACCUCCAAAGUACAGCAUUUGAACAAUACAUCCAAAUAUGGUGAACCUUGACCCAAUGGAGGAAAAACAUUGAGAGCCAGGGUAUACAGUUCCAGAUUUUAAGUAGACUGCAGCAACUACCAUUUGGAGAAGGUGGACAGUCCAGGGGAAAACUGGGCACAUCCUUGGUGGGUGAGGCGGGGAGGAGAUGAGUAAAGUUUCCUACUGCAGAAAAGCAGAAGGGAAGGUUCAGAAGAGGAAUCCCAUAUUUUCCUAAUGUCCUGCAAACUAUCCUCUUUACAAUGAGAAAUAGUCUGGAGAUAAGGGAAUGGAAACAGGAGAAAACAACACUCAAGUGCUUAACAUACAUAGAUCUAUAUGUACAUACUGCAACACCAGGAACCACAUAGAUGUCUCUGAGUGAAAUGCUCACCCCAAAGUGGGCAGCAUACCAUGCUUGCAGAGAGACAUACCCAGUCACAGGAAGUAGCAGACAUGGUGCAUCAGGCCACAAAUGAAAGAAAG